rnacentral:rRNA from 1 species
CUAGCUGUAAACGAUGUAGACUUGGCGUUGGGGGAGUAAAAUCCUUCAGUGCCGCAGCAAACGCGAUAAGUCUACCGCCUGGGGACUACGGCCGCAAGGUUAAAACUCAAAGGAAUUGAC